UGAUGAAGGCCUUAGGGUUGUAAAGCCCUUUUGUUGGGAAAGAAAAGCAGUCGGCUAAUACCCGGUUGUUCUGACGGUACCCAAAGAAUAAGCACCGGCUAACUUCGUGCCAGCAGCCGCGGUAAUACGAAGGGUGCAAGCGUUACUCGGAAUUACUGGGCGUAAAGCGUGCGUAGGUGGUUGUUUAAGUCUGUUGUGAAAGCCCUGGGCUCAACCUGGGAAUUGCAGUGGAUACUGGGCGACUAGAGUGUGGUAGAGGGUAGUGGAAUUCCCGGUGUAGCAGUGAAAUGCGUAGAGAUCGGGAGGAACAUCCAUGGCGAAGGCAGCUACCUGGACCAACACUGACACUGAGGCACGAAAGCGUGGGGAGCAAACAGGAUUAGAUACCCU
rnacentral:rRNA from 1 species